rnacentral:rRNA from 1 species
CCUACGGGUGGCAGCAGUGAGGAAUAUUGGUCAAUGGCCGAGAGGCUGAACCAGCCAAGUCGCGUGAGGGAAGACGGCCCUACGGGUUGUAAACCUCUUUUGUCGGAGAACAAAACCCGGGACGUGUCCCGGACUGCGUGUAUCCGAAGAAAAAGCAUCGGCUAACUCCGUGCCAGCAGCCGCGGUAAUACGGAGGAUGCGAGCGUUAUCCGGAUUUAUUGGGUUUAAAGGGUGCGUAGGCGGUCCGUUAAGUCAGCGGUAAAAUUGCGGGGCUCAACCCCGUCGAGCCGUUGAAACUGGCAGACUUGAGUUGGCGAGAAGUAUGCGGAAUGCGUGGUGUAGCGGUGAAAUGCAUAGAUAUCACGCAGAACUCCGAUUGCGAAGGCAGCAUGCCGGCUCCACACUGACGCUGAGGCACGAAAGCGUGGGUAUCGAACAGGAUUAGAUACCCUUGUAGUC